AGUGAACGCUGGCGGUAGGCCUAACACAUGCAAGUCGAACGGCAGCACAGUAAGAGCUUGCUCUUACGGGUGGCGAGUGGCGGACGGGUGAGGAAUACAUCGGAAUCUACUUUUUCGUGGGGGAUAACGUAGGGAAACUUACGCUAAUACCGCAUACGACCUACGGGUGAAAGCAGGGGAUCUUCGGACCUUGCGCGAUUGAAUGAGCCGAUGUCGGAUUAGCUAGUUGGCGGGGUAAAGGCCCCCCAAGGCGACGAUCCGUAGCUGGUCUGAGAGGAUGAUCAGCCACACUGGAACUGAGACACGGUCCAGACUCCUACGGGAGGCAGCAGUGGGGAAUAUUGGACAAUGGGCGCAAGCCUGAUCCAGCCAUACCGCGUGGGUGAAGAAGGCCUUCGGGUUGUAAAGCCCUUUUGUUGGGAAAGAAAAGCAGCAGGUUAAUACCCCGCUGUUCGGACGGUACCCAAAGAAUAAGCACCGGCUAACUUCGU
rnacentral:rRNA from 1 species